CCGACGGUGAGGGAUGAAAGCUGGGGGAGCAAACCGGAUUAGAUACCCGGGUAGUCCCAGCUGUAAACGAUGCAAACUCGGUGAUGCAUUGGCUUGUGGCCAAUGCAGUGCCGCAGGGAAGCCGUUAAGUUUGCCGCCUGGGAAGUACGUACGCAAGUAUGAAACUUAAAGGAAUUGGCGGGGGAGCACCACAAGGGGUGAAGCCUGCGGUUCAAUUGGAGUCAACGCCAGAAAUCUUACCCGGAGCGACAGCAGAAUGAAGGUCAAGCUGAGGACUUUACCAGACAAGCUGAGAGGUGGUGCAUGGCCGUCGCCAGCUCGUGCCGUGAGAUGUCCUGUUAAGUCAGGUAACGAGCGAGACCCCUGCUCCUAGUUGCUACCGUUACUCUCUGGAGUAGCGGAGCGAAUUAGUAGGACCGCCGCAGUUAAUGCGGAGGAAGGAAGGGGCCACGGCAGGUCAGUAUGCCCCGAAACUCUGGGGCCACACGCGGGCUGCAAUGGUAUUGACAAUGUGUUCCGAAUCCGAAAGGAGGAGGCAAUCAUCAAACAAUACCUCAGUUAUGAUUGAGGGCUGUAACUCGCCCUCAUGAAUAUGGAAUCCCUAGUAACUGCGCGUCACUACCGCGCGGUGAAUACGUCCCUGCUCCUUGCACUCACCUGCCGU
rnacentral:rRNA from 1 species